rnacentral:rRNA from 1 species
CGCCAGACUCCUACGGGAGGCAGCAGUGGGGAAUAUUGCACAAUGGGGGAAACCCUGAUGCAGCGACGCCGCGUGAGUGAAGAAGUAUUUCGGUAUGUAAAGCUCUAUCAGCAGGGAAGAAAAUGACGGUACCUGAUUAAGAAGCCCCGGCUAACUACGUGCCAGCAGCCGCGGUAAUACGUAGGGGGCAAGCGUUAUCCGGAUUUACUGGGUGUAAAGGGAGCGUAGACGGCAGCACAAGUCUGGAGUGAAAUGCCGGGGCUUAACCCCGGAACUGCUUUGGAAACUGUGCAGCUAGAGUGCAGGAGAGGUAAGUGGAAUUCCUAGUGUAGCGGUGAAAUGCGUAGAUAUGUGGAAGAACACCGAUGGCGAAGGCAGCCUCCUGGGACGCAACUGACGCUCAUACACGAAAGCGUGGGGAGCAAACAGGAUUAGAUACCCUAGUAGG